UAUGAUGCAAGCAACAAUCUCUCACAAAUGUAUUCAGAUUUGGAAUGAAAUGAGAGCAUGAGUAUACACGGAUUCCAAGCAAUCAUAUAUAGCUCAAUUCAAAUAAGAAUGUUAGAUGAAUUUGAUAACCAAAGGAUUGAAACUAGAAUAGGCACAUAUCGAAAGCAAAUGCGGAACAAUGGGAUAUACAUGUGCCUACACGUGUCAAUGCGAUAUAGCUUAAAUGUUACACAAAAUGUUUCAAGAAUGUAAAUAAUUUAUAGACAAGAGCAAACCAAAAUUCAAGCACUAACAUAAGCUUCAAUUGAGUGAAGGGGACUGAACGAAAUCUAUUUCCAAACGAAUGAAACAAAAUACGCAAAAUCGACCAAAACUCGAUUUCUGGCAGAAUUCAAGAGGCACAUUGAACAAAUGCUUCAGAUUAUCAAUUAUGCUCCAAUACCCUCAAAAAGGCUAUUAUCGAAAGAUAUAUCAAUCUAUUUUCUAUUGAAAUAAGUUUCGUAUGAAUCAUGAUUUCCAACAAGGAGUUACCUUUGAUUUGGUAACACAAGGUCAAAAACACAAUCACUGUUCUGCAGAAUUCAUAGGGCCGGAUUCAACAGAUAAUAGGGUAGGCAUUUGAAUUCCAAAUUUUUCAAACGAUAUGUCUAAAGAAAGGUCUACAAGUCUAGUUUCGAACGAAGCCAGUUUGUACAAAUUAGAAUUUCCAAUAGGGACUUAUAGGUAUUUUAGUAUUGAAAGGUCAGAAAUUUUGAUCCCUGUUCUGCAGCAUCUAUAGGCUCAUUUGAAACAGAUGUUUGGGUAAGUAUUCGGUGUCCAAAAUCUACAAAAUUAGUGUCAAAAGAAAGAUAUAAGAGUCUAAUUUCAAACGAAUUAUGUCCUGCCUGAAUCCACAUUUGGUGCUAAAAAUUAUAGCUGAAACAGUGUAUAGGGGUCAGUUUACCGAAAAAAUUUCAGAUCCUUGGUUUUUUGUCCAAAGAGAGAAAUAUCAGGUUCUAAGCAUAAAUCUUUCAAAAUCAAUAUAGGAACAUAGACUAAUACUUCUAUAGGAUGGGGUUAGAACACUUGCCUUUGAGAAUUUUGACCCUAAAUGAGAAGAUUUGAGCAAAAAACCUCAAAGCCCCAAUUUUUUUUUUCUUCUUCUUCUUCCCCCUUUUUCUUCUCUUCUUCUUUCUUUCUUUCUCCUGUGCUUCCAUGUAGCUGCCUUCUCUGGUUCCUUAUGAACGAAAGCAGAGAGGCUUAAACUGUAAUAUCCCUCGUUUUUAAAAAAUUAUUAAUAAAGAUUUAUAUGUAAAUUGGAGGACCUAUAUGUAAAUAUAGAAAUUACAAGGACUAAACUGCUAAGUUGCAAAAAAAAAAAAAAAAAAAAAGAAAAAAAAAAAAAAAAAGGGAAAACCGAAAAUUCGGUAUUAUCCCACCGCCUCCCACGCACUCUGUUUCUUCCAGAAACAGAGAGAGCGGUGGGGCAUGAGGAUUGAAGAAAAGAAGAAGAAGAGGGAAAAGAAGAGAGGAGGAAGAAGAGAGGAAGAAGAGGGAGAAGAGAAGAGGAAGAAGAAGAAGAGGAGGUGGCUGCAGCGAGGGCUGCAGCGAGGAGCUGUGGGGCGUGGGGAGAAGAAGAGAGGAAGAAGAGGGAGAAGAGAAGAAGAAGAAGAAGAAGAAGAAGAAGAAGAAGAAGAAGAAGAAGAGAGGAGGAUAGCUGCGGCAAGGCUGCAGCGAGGAGGUGUGUGGCUUUGGGGAGGAAAAGGGAAGAGGAGAAGAAGAGAAGGAGAAGAAGAGGGAAAAGAAAGGCAGCUGCAGCAGCCAGGGCUGCAGCACCUCUGUUUCCCGCAGGUGGAAACAGAGGAGAGGAUGUGUGGGGCGUUGAGGAAGAAGAGGGAGAAGAGAAGAAGAAGAAGAAGAAGAAGAAGAAGAAGAAGAAGAUAGCUGCGGCAAGGCUGCAGCGAGGAGAUGUGUGGCCUUGGGGAGGAAAAGGGAAGAGGGGAAGAGGAGAAGAAGAAGAAGAGGAAGAGAAAGAGGUGUGAUACCUCUGUUUCCUGCAGAGGAAACAGAGGAGAGGGUGUGUGUGACGCCGGGGAAGAAGGGGCUGCAGCUGCGGCGAUGGCAGCUGCAGCUGGAAGAGAAGAAGAAGAGGAAGAUGAGCAGGGGAGGAGGGAGAGGUUGCGGCCGUGGCUGCGGCCGCGACUGCAGCAGUUGCAGCGGGGAGAGAAGAAGAAGAAAGGAAGGAGAAGGAAGAGGAGAAGGGGCUGCGGCUGCGGCGAUGGCAGCUGCAGCUGUGGCAGGGAAAGAGAAAAAGGAAAGGAAGAAGAAGAGAAAGGGAAGGAGAGGAAGAAGAGAGGAAGAGGAGAAGGGGCUGCGGCUGCGGCGAUGGCAACUGCAGCUGUGGCAGGGAAAGAGAAAAAGGAAAGGAAGAAGAAGAGAAAGGGAAGGAGAGGAAGAAGAGAGGAAGAGGAGAAGGGGCUGCGGCUGCGGUGAUGGCAGCUGCAGCUGUGGCUAGGAAAGAAGAGAAGGAAAGGAAGAAGAAGAGAAAGGGAAGGAGAGGAAGAAGAGAGGAAGAGGAGAAGGGGUGGCAGCUGCGGCAGUGGCAGCUGCAGUUGGAAGAGAAGUAGGAGAGGAAAUAGAGUAGCAGAGGAAGAAGAGGCUGCGGUUGUGGUGGCUGCGGCCAUGGCUGCGACUGCGACUGCGGCAGUUGCAGCUGGGAAAGAAAGGAAAGGAAAGGGGGAAAAAGGGGCUGCGGACGGGAUUGCGGUCGCAGCGGCAGCGACUGCGUAUGCAGCAGUUAUGUCUGCGAGAGAAGGGAGGAAGGAAGGUAGUGCGGUGGAAGGGGCUGCGAUUGUGGCAGCGGCAGCGGCCGCGGUUGUGGCAGCUGCAUUUGGGAAAGAAAAAGAAGGAAUGAGAGUAAGAGAAAGCAGGUGACUGUGCCUCGAUGUUCGACACGUGGUGUAGUUGCGAAGAAAGGAAGAAAACGGGAGCACAAAACGAAACAGAGAGAGGACACGGAGAAAAAGUAGAAGGAUUUGGGCUGGCACCUUCUUUGGAUCUUCGGAUCGAAAUCAUUGAAAGGUCAACUUGUCACUCUUCGAGAUGUUUGAUUUGGGCUGAGGCAGUGGAUAGCUAUUCAGAAUAAUGGGCAAGUCCGGUUGGUUAUUACGAUAUUGUUGUAUAAGUAUGUCUUGUAUGUAAUGAAAUGUUGUCGAUGAACCGAAAUGGAUAUACUGUGUCAAAGUGUUAGGAGAUCUCUCUUAUUUGGAAUUUCAGAAUGUUAAGUCUAAUUUAUGGUGAUACGAACUUGUGGUGAAUAGUUGGAGUUCUGAUUGUAUAAUUUAUUUAGCUUGUGGAUUUAUAAAUAUUGUUCAUGUUUGUCAAGUUGGCUUGGGUUGCCAUAAAUGUGAAUUAUCGAGUGAUGUGAUAUAUGAUUAUAAACUGCACAGGUUUUAUGGA